rnacentral:rRNA from 1 species
GUCUUUUUGAAAUCAAUUUAAAGUCUAAUCUGCCCACUGAUAAAUAUUAAAGGGCUGCAGUAUAAUGACUGUACAAAGGUAGCAUAAUCAAUAGUUUUUUAAUUGGAAACUUGAAUGAAAGAUUUGAUGAAAUAUAAACUGUCUCUUAUUUAUUAUUAGAAAUUUAUUUUUUAGUUAAAAAGCUAAAAUAAUUUUAUAAGACGAGAAGACCCUAUAGAGUUUUAUAUUUAUUUUUAUUUCAUAGGUAUAUAAAAAUUUAAAGUAAAAUAAAAUUAAAUAUUUCGUUGGGGUGAUCUAAAAAUUAAUUUAACUUUUUUUAAAAAUUAAACAUUAAUAAAUGAUUAAAUGAUCCAUUAAUAAUGAUUAUAAGAAAAAAUUACCUUAGG